AUGAAUGUUUUCACAAAACAAAAAAAUAAAAGGGAUGAAAAGGAAGGAUUGUGCGCGAUCAAACUUGAUAUGCAUAAAGCUUAUGACCGAGUGGAGUGGGUUUUUCUGAAGGAGAUCAUGUUGAGAUUAGUCUUCCAAGAGAGUUGGGUCAACUUUAUCAUGCAAUGUGUUUCUACCGUUGAGUAUCGAGUUAGAUUUAAUUCGGAAGAAACUGAGAGUUUUAAGCCAUCCAGAGGUUUACGACAAGGAGACCCGUUAUUGCCUUAUUUAUUUUUGCUAUGUACUGAGGGGUUGUCUGCUCUCUUGUCACAUGCGGAGGAAAGUGGGAAAAUUGAAGGUAUGAAAGUGUGUAGAGAGGCACCACCGAUUACGAAUCUUCUUUUUGCGGAUGACUCAUUGAACCUGAUGAAGGCAAGUAUUCACAAUGCAGAGGCUUUGAAAACCAUUCUGGACUCGUAUUGUAAAGCAUCGGGGCAAUUGAUCAGUGUUGAUAAAUCAAGUAUAUUUUUCAGCCCCAAUACAAAAGUGGAAAUCAAGGAGCAACUAUGUACAACACUCAAUAUCAUGACUGAAGCUCUCGGUGAUAAAUAUCUAGGGUUGCCGGCUAAUGUGGGUAUGGAUAAAUCUGACUGUUUUCAGUAUCCGUUUGACCGUAUCAUCAUGAAGAUAAGUGGAUGGAAAGAAAAACUUUUAUCCGUGGGAGGGAAGGAAAUCCUCUUGAAAUUUGUUAUACAAGCUAUCCCCACCUAUGCGAUGUUCGUCUUUAAAAUUCCUAAAAAAAAUUGUAAGGGAAUCACUGAUGCGAUAUCUCAUUUCUGGUGGGGGGACGAGGAUAAUCAUAAGCAGAUGCAUUGGAUGGCUUGGUGGAAAAUGUGUGUACCCAAAAAUCAAGGGGGCAUGGGAUUCCGGGAUAUUCAUUGUUUCAACCUAGCAAUGCUGGCAAAACAAGCGUGGCGUAUUAUUGAGAAUCCAGACUCCUUAUGUGCGACCGUGUUGAGAGCUAAAUAUUUCCCAAAUGAUGAUUUAUUGAAUACAAAGCUAAAAAAUGGCUCUUCUUUUACUUGGCAAAGUAUUAUGGAAGGGGUUAAUUGUCUAAAUCUUGGUUAUAUUUGGCGUGUUGGAAAUGGUCACAACAUUGAUAUUCGGGAAGAUGCUUGGAUUCCUAAUUAUGCAAAUAGAAAAGUAAUCACACUGAGAGGGAGUAAUUUGAUCUCAAAGGUAUAUGAUUUAAUUGAUCCUGCUACUAGUAAUUGGGACAAAAAUUUGGCCACACAAAUGUUCUGGCAGUUGAUGCACAAAGGGUCCUUGCAAUUCCUUUGUCACAACAUGAUAUGUCGGAUUUUGUCGCUUGGAGCUAUUCAAAGAAUGGAACUUUUUUUGUUCGAUCACCCUAUGUAG
rnacentral:rRNA from 1 species